UACGUAGGGUGCGAGCGUUAAUCGGAAUAACUGGGCGUAAAGGGUGCGCAGGCGGUUUUGUAAGUCAGCUGUGAAAUCCCCGGGCUUAACCUGGGAAUGGCAGUUGAGACUGCAAGGCUAGAGUGUGUCAGAGGGGGGUCGAAUUCCACGUGUAGCAGUGAAAUGCGUAGAGAUGUGGAGGAACACCGAUGGCGAAGGCAGCCCCCUGGGAUAACACUGACGCUCAGGCACGAAAGCGUGGGGAGCAAACAGG
rnacentral:rRNA from 1 species